AAAGUGCGAUAAGCAAUGCGAAUUGCAGAAUUCCGCGAAUCAUCAGAUCCUUGAACGCAACUGGCGCCAAGAGGCUCUCCUCUUGGCAUGCCUGUUUCAGUGUCUGAAAACCUCAUAUUUAUCUUAAUGUGGAUGACACAGAGGGAAAGAAUUAAACCUUCAUUCUACUCUGCAAAAGUCUUCCAUUAAAGAUGUAUGUGUGGGUCUUUGAGCCCCUCAUCGAAUUGGUCACUGGUCUCUUCAGUGAUUUCGAUAGGGAAUGCUUCAAUUACUCGAUUACACAUAGUAUAUUUAAUUUACAUCAUCAAACUCUGCAUCUGAAAUCAGGCAAGAUCACCCGCUGAACUUAA
rnacentral:misc_RNA from 1 species